UUUUAAAUGGCCGUGAUCAUAUGGAUCAACGCACAAUGCAUCCGGAUUGAGUUUGCGGUUUGGUACUAAAUUGUACUAAACGCAACAUCGACCGCAAAGUCAACCGGAAGAUUUGACUCGUUUCAAAUCUUGCGCUUGACUUUGCGGUAGACGAUUUGUUUUGUUUAUCUUUUUGCAGUGCGAGAAGCAGCUCGGUGUGCAGGAGAACUUCAGCUUUACGUUAAUUUUCAGCUGUUUUGUAAAGGUUCAGUGUCCUGGUUGAUUCAGUAACCGUACCUCCGCCCAAAUGGAUGAGAGUGAAACCCAAAAUACUGAGGAAGAAACCAGCAAUGUCAACGAACGAAUCAUUGCAUUCGUAAAGGAACAUAAGGUUCUCUACGAUAAAACUAUGCGAGCAUACAAAAAUAAUAACAACAGAAACAAGCUUUGGGUGCAGCUUGCAUCAGAAAUCGGAAUGGAUGGUAAGAUUAUUGGAUUAUUUAAGCUAUUUCUUGUGGUACUUUUCAAAUGAACCUAACAUUGUGAUACUCUCCUCUCUCCUUUCCAUUAUGUUCUUUGGAUGUACUUCUAGUUUAAGACAUUGCUCGCAUAAACCUUGAAAACGGCAUAAAAGCCGUUGGUUAUUCCUGAACACAUGAAUGUAAACACCUUUGAGAGAAAGAGCAAACCGUUCUAGGGCUUUAGUUUAUACGUACUUAGAAACAACGAGCAACCAACUUGGCUACCAAUGACUUAUUGGACGAGAUCAUACAUUGUGCGAGAUAGUCUCUUGAGCUAUGCUGAAAGAAAUGAGCGAAUUAGAUG